AGUGAACGCUGGCGGCGUGCUUAACACAUGCAAGUCGAACGAGGACGGAUUAUAGCUUGCUAUAAUUGUCAGCUAAGUGGCGCACGGGUGAGUAAUGUAUAGGUAAUAUGCCUUUUACUAAGGAAUAACAAAUGGAAACGUUUGCUAAUACCUUAUACUCCUUAUUAACCUAAGUUAAUAAGGGAAAAAUUUAUUGGUAAGAGAUUAGCCUGUAUUGUAUCAGUUAGUUGGUGGGGUAAUGGCUUACCAAGACUAUGACACAUAACUGGUUUGAGAGGAUGAUCAGUCACACUGGAACUGAGACACGGUCCAGACUCCUACGGGAGGCAGCAGUGGGGAAUAUUGCGCAAUGGACGGAAGUCUGAUGCAGCGACGCCGCGUGGAGGAUGACACAUUUCGGUGCGUAAACUCCUUUUAUAUGAGAAGAUAAUGACGGUAUUAUAUGAAUAAGCACCGGCUAACACCGUGCCAGCAGCCGCAGUAA
rnacentral:rRNA from 1 species